rnacentral:rRNA from 1 species
UACGUAGGGUGCAAGCGUUGUCCGGAAUUAUUGGGCGUAAAGAGCUCGUAGGCGGUUUGUCGCGUCGGCUGUGAAAACCCGGAGCUCAACUCCGGGCCUGCAGUCGAUACGGGCAGACUUGAGUGUUGCAGGGGAGACUGGAAUUCCUGGUGUAGCGGUGAAAUGCGCAGAUAUCAGGAGGAACACCGGUGGCGAAGGCAGCCUUCUGGGCCAACACUGACGCUCAUGCACGAAAGCGUGGGGAGCAAACAGG